GGGGCUGUAGCUCAGUCGGUCAGAGCGUCUGGUUUACACCCAGAAGGUCCACAGUUCGAGCCUGUGCAGCCCCACCA
rnacentral:tRNA from 1 species